UGCANUCGACGGAAGGNCCUUCGGGGUACUCGAGUGGCGAACGGGUGAGUAACACGUGGGUGAUCUGCCCUGCACUUUGGGAUAAGCCUGGGAAACUGGGUCUAAUACCGAAUAGGACCACGCGCUUCAUGGUGUGUGGUGGAAAGCUUUUGCGGUGUGGGAUGGGCCCGCGGCCUAUCAGCUUGUUGGUGGGGUAAUGGCCUACCAAGGCGACGACGGGUAGCCGGCCUGAGAGGGUGACCGGCCACACUGGGACUGAGAUACGGCCCAGACUCCUACGGGAGGCAGCAGUGGGGAAUAUUGCACAAUGGGCGCAAGCCUGAUGCAGCGACGCCGCGUGAGGGAUGACGGCCUUCGGGUUGUAAACCUCUUUCAAUAGGGACGAAGCGNGNGUGACGGUACCUAUAGAAGAAGCACCGGCCAACUACGUGCCAGCAGCCGCGGUAAUACGUAGGGUGCGAGCGUUGUCCGGAAUUACUGGGCGUAAAGAGCUCGUAGGUGGUUUGUCGCGUUGUUCGUGAAAACUCACAGCUUAACUGUGGGCGUGCGGGCGAUACGGGCAGACUAGAGUACUGCAGGGGAGACUGGAAUUCCUGGUGUAGCGGUGGAAUGCGCAGAUAUCAGGAGGAACACCGGUGGCGAAGGCGGGUCUCUGGGCAGUAACUGACGCUGAGGAGCGAAAGCGUGGGGAGCGAACAGGAUUAGAUACCCUGGUAGUCCACGCCGUAAACGGUGGGUACUANGUGUGGGUUCCUUCCUUGGGAUCCGUGCCGUANCUAACGCAUUAAGUACCCCGCCUGGGGAGUACGGCCGCAAGGCUAAAACUCAAAGGAAUUGACGGGGGCCCGCACAAGCGGCGGANCAUGUGGAUUAAUUCGAUGCAACGCGAANAACCUUACCUGGGUUUGACNUGCACAGGACGCCGGCAGANAUGUNGNUUCCCUUGUGGCCUGUGUGCAGGUGGUGCAUGGNUGUCGUCANCUCGUGUCGUGANAUGUUGGGUUAANUCCCNCAACGAGCGCAACCCUUGUCCUAUGUUGCCAGCGG
rnacentral:rRNA from 1 species